GACCAACCAUAACCAUGAGCAUGCCGAUCAGAUAGAUGAUCACAUGUGAACAUACAGCCUUGGUGGGGGCGAUUAUACAGGCUAAACUACUAUAGUAAACAUUAUUAUGUAGUGACAGCAUGGAGAUCCCCACAAAGAUCAAUGAAGAAACAAAUGCGUUAUUUCUAACAAAUUUAAUAACCUUCCUCCAUAGAAACAAACUUUACUACUUCAUUCAACUACAGUGACAGAGAGUGUUCUUUCAUUUUCCAAUAAACCUUUCCUCUUCUCGACGAACGGCACGUGACAAAUAUUCCUGAGGUCGUGAGUCGUGACUCGUGAGACCACCAUAGAGGAAAGGGAAAGCCACAUCAAAGUUUAGGCGGAAAGAAAAUUCCUUUCCUAGUCAAAAAAAAAAGUAAAAGUGAGGUUCUGAGGGAUUUUCUACAGAAAGAAUCUUAUUCGUAGUGUCUGAGUGUCCGGACUGCAGAGGAAAGGUAAAAGGAAGGUUUGCGGCUAAGUCAUGACCCAACAAUUAAAAGUAGUCAAGAUCACAAGACGCGAUCUGUAUAAGACGAGAUCUGUAUAGUGUAGAUGCUCAAUAAGUGCUCAUUGCAGUGAGCCAGACAACCUCACCUUUGGUGCCGUCCUUCCAGUCGUAACCAGUGGGUAGCUAGCUCGGCUUAUAACACUGGCGAAAGAGGCAGCAGGAAUGAUUGGAGCCCCCACACGGAC
rnacentral:lncRNA from 1 species